CACGGUGAGUAACACGUAUGCAAUCCACCUGUAACAGGGGGAUAACCCGGAGAAAUCCGGACUAAUACCCCAUAAUAUGGGCGCUCCGCAUGGAGAGUCCAUUAAAGAGAGCAAUCUUGGUUACAGACGAGCAUGCGCUCCAUUAGCCAGUUGGCGGGGUAACGGCCCACCAAGGCGACGAUGGAUAGGGGUUCUGAGAGGAAGGUCCCCCACAUUGGAACUGAGACACGGUCCAA
rnacentral:rRNA from 1 species